CACUCGUGCACAGGUGGUACUAGUUGUCUUCAGCUCGUGUUGGAGAGUUGGGUUAAGUCCCGCAACGAGCGCAACCCUUGUCCCAUGUUGCCAGCGGGUUAUGCCGGGGAUUCAUGGGAGACUGCCGGGGUCAACAAGGAGGAAGGUGGGGAUGACGACAAAUCAUCAUGCCCCUUAUGUUUUGGGAUUCAUGCAUGAUAACAAUGGCCGGUACAAAGGGGUGCGAUUCCGUAAGGUGGAGCGAAUCCCAAAAAGCCGGUUUUCAGUUUAGGAUUGGGGGUCUGCAACUUAGACCCCAUGAAGUCGGAGUCGCUAGUAAUCGCAGAUCAGCAACGCUGCGGGGAAUACGUUUNCGGGCCUAGUACACACCGCCCGUCAAGUCUCGAAACUCGGUAACUCUUGACGCCCACCCCCCAACCUUGAAUAGGAUGGCACCA
rnacentral:rRNA from 1 species